rnacentral:rRNA from 1 species
GAUGAACGCUGACAGCAUGCUUAACACAUGCAAGUCGAAGGGGAAGUGGUGCUUGCACCAUGGUAACCAUGGCGGACGGGUGAGUAACGCGUCAGGAACUUACCUGCGGGACCGGGAUAACAGCCGGAAACUGCUGACAAGACCGGACAAGGGCAUUAAGCUGCCUCGCGUAGGGAUGACAGGAGACGCCUGCGGAGAGCCUUGCGUCCUAUUAGCUAGUUGGGGGGGUAACGGCCCACCAAGGCGAAGAUAGGUAGCCGGCCUGAGGGGGUGGACGGCCACAAGGGGACUGGGAGACGGCCCUGACUACUACGGGAGGCAGCAGGGGGGAAUAUUGGACAAAGGGGGCAACCCUUAUCCAGCAAUUCUGUGUGCACGAAGAAGGUUUUCGGAGUGUAAAGUGUUUUCAGCAGGGAAGAAGGAAGUGACGGUACCUGAAGAAGAAGCGACGGCUAACUACGUG